UACAGAGGGGGCCAGCGUUAUUCGGAAUUAUUGGGCGUAAAGGGCGCGUAGGCGGCUUAUCAAGUCAGGCGUGAAAUUCCCGGGCUCAACCUGGGGGCUGCGCUUGAUACUGAUUGGCUUGAAUGCGGAAGAGGAUAGUGGAAUUCCCAGUGUAGAGGUGAAAUUCGUAGAUAUUGGGAAGAACACCAGUGGCGAAGGCGACCACCUGGACUGAUACUGACACUGAGGUGCGAAAGCGUGGGGAGCAAACAGG
rnacentral:rRNA from 1 species